CAGGUAGUCGGCGAGCGGCGGACGGGUGAGGAAUACGUAGGAACUUGCCUUUCAGAGGGGGACAACCAAGGGAAACCUUGGCUAAUACCGCAUAAUCUCGAGAGAGAAAAGCUGCCCGCAAGGGUAGCGCUGGAAGAGAGGCCUUCGUCCGAUUAGCUAGUUGGUGAGGUAAAGGCUCACCAAGGCGAUGAUCGGUAACUGGUCUGAGAGGACGACCAGUCACACUGGGACUGAGACACGGCCCAGACUCC
rnacentral:rRNA from 1 species